UCUUCCUUCGAGUUGUCACGCCUUUCCAGACCAACCCAAUGUUCAUCUUACACAUGUUGAUUGAUGUCUCAUGUCUCCCUAAAAUGUACCCUGAUCACCU